UUUGAUCCUGGCUCAGGACGAACGCUGGCGGCGUGCCUAAUACAUGCAAGUCGAGCGAACCACUUCGGUGGUUAGCGGCGGACGGGUGAGUAACACGUGGGCAACCUGCCUGUAAGACUGGGAUAACUUCGGGAAACCGGAGCUAAUACCGGAUAAUCCUUUUCCUCUCAUGAGGAAAAGCUGAAAGACGGUUUCGGCUGUCACUUACAGAUGGGCCCGCGGCGCAUUAGCUAGUUGGUGAGGUAACGGCUCACCAAGGCGACGAUGCGUAGCCGACCUGAGAGGGUGAUCGGCCACACUGGGACUGAGACACGGCCCAGACUCCUACGGGAGGCAGCAGUAGGGAAUCUUCCACAAUGGACGAAAGUCUGAUGGAGCAACGCCGCGUGAGCGAUGAAGGCCUUCGGGUCGUAAAGCUCUGU
rnacentral:rRNA from 1 species